UACGUAGGGGGCUAGCGUUGUCCGGAUUUAUUGGGCGUAAAGAGCGUGUAGGCGGCCAGGUAAGUCUGGUGUGAAAACUCGAGGCUUAACCUCGAGAUGUCAUCGGAAACCAUUUGGCUAGAGUCCGGAAGAGGAGAGUGGAAUUCCUGGUGUAGCGGUGAAAUGCGCAGAUAUCAGGAAGAACACCAAUGGCGAAAGCAGCUCUCUGGGACGGUACUGACGCUGAGACGCGAAAGCGUGGGGAGCGAACAGG
rnacentral:rRNA from 1 species